ensembl:snoRNA LOC120099453 small nucleolar RNA SNORA4
CUACCAAAGAAUCUGUCUGGUGCCAAUCAUGGCGGCAAGAUGCUGGCAGCUAAAGAGAAAUGAAAUAAGCAUGGUAAUUCAGACAAUUUGGCAGAAUGAGGAAAACCACACUCCACAGGACUAUAUCAGUUAGUAUGGUUCAUUACUAUAUUGUGGCCUACAUU